CCCUUCUAAAUGGGAAGGCCUGGUCUACACUGGGGAGACAGGAAUAGGGAGAUCAAUCUAAGUUGCGCAACUUCAGCUAUGUGAAUAGUGUAGCUGAAGUCGAUGUACUUAGAUCUACUCACCACAGUGUCUUCACUGUGGUGAAUCAAUGGCUGAUGCCCCCCUGUCUACUCUGCCUGUGCCUCAUGCGUCGUUGGAGUACAGGAGUCGACGGGAGAGCGCUCAGAGGUCAAUAUAUC